UGCAUGGGAGAUGCUGAGGGCCGUGUGAUGCGGCAGCUUGGUGAGAUGCCGUUGUGGCGUGAAGCUGCGGUGGUGCAUGCAUGUACUGGGAUAUUAUCUAGUUAGUUAGUGCAUGGUUGGUUGAGGUAUGGCCGAGUGAUUUGGUCAAGUUAAUUAGUAUGUGUAUGUAGCAGAUGGAGGUUGCAUGCAGCUGUAAUAGUGGAGUAGUUGGACACGUCCUAAACGUGAGCAUAGGAAACGGAUCAUGGAGUUGGCUCCUGGCCGCGCUAGCUGAUGUAUAUAAGUAUUGCAUUGAUUGAAUGAAACGGAGGCCGUGAGGGCUGAGGGAAAAAAGAUGUAGCAUAUGUGUGUCUCACCGGGAGAACAAAGCAAAGCUGGUUCCUCCCACGGUGAGGUGUGUGUGUGUGUAGAGUUUCAUGUGUAUGUGUGUGUUCUUGUGUUCUUGAGAGAAGAAGAUAGAGAGAAACCACAAGAGAGUUUUGUGAGGGAGCUCGAGGUAGAAGAAGAAGCGGCGCUGCGAGGAGGCGGCGCCAACAUUUGGUAUCAGAGCCUCGUCGAUCCGCAGCGGUGGCGACGGCGACGGCAGCACGGCUGACUCGUGGAGGACGAGGUGGAGGUCGCGCGAGGUGGAGGUCGGCGGCGGCGCGAUGCCGUUGGUGGCCUGCUGCGGUGCGACGCUACCACAACGACGGUGUGAUGCCGUUACAAGGAGAAGACUGGAUGGCGGCGUGAUGCCGCUGUCAUCCGGUUGCGGCGCGAGGCCGUUAGGACAAGGAGACGGCGUGGUGAUGGGAGAUGUCUUCCACGUCAAGAGGUGGCUGCGGCGUUCGGCAAGAUGGCAUGAUGGCGCGUGCGUACGUCAGGGCGGAUGUUCAUGGGGCACCGGCGGGAGGCUAGGUGCUGCAUCAUGCGUCCAGGAACACGACGAUUGACAGCUGUGCGUCCAUGGUGAAGUUGGCUGCUGCUGGCAUGUGUCGUGCUCGCCGAAGGCAAGGUGCGACGAUGACCCAGUGAUGAGGAUAGCAGUGGUGGUGCAUCAACGGCAAGCUCCAUGAGAUAUGGAGGUCACAGUGGCGGUAGAAUCCAUGAGAUGUGGAGGCCGCAGGUGGUGGCAGACUUCGUGAGAUGCGGAGGCCGGUGUAGGUGGCCAUGGCUACCAUCGCAGGAGGGUUCGUGUGCUUAUGGCGAACACAAGUGCAGCGGCAAGGUUUUCGUGGUGACAUGCGGCGGCACUGGAAGGAAUGCGUCGUCCACGGCAAGGUGAUGUUGUGGCAAGAGGAUGUAGGUGAUCUGCAUAAAAAAUUAGAGGAGUUGACAUGGCAAGAUUAGGGGGUUGAAUGUUAGUUUUAAUCUUGUCAUGGUCAUGUAUCUGCAUGGGAGAUGCUGAGGGCCGUGUGAUGCGGCAGCUUGGUGAGAUGCCGUUGUGGCGUGAAGCUGCGGUGGUGCAUGCAUGUACUGGGAUAUUAUCUAGUUAGUUAGUGCAUGGUUGGUUGAGGUAUGGCCGAGUGAUUUGGUCAAGUUAAUUAGUACGUGUAUGUAGCAGAUGGAGGUUGCAUGCAGCUGUAAUAGUGGAGUAGUUGGACACGUCCUAAACGUGAGCAUAGGAAACGGAUCAUGGAGUUGGCUCCUGGCCGCGCUAGCUGAUGUAUAUAAGUAUUGCAUUGAUUGAAUGAAACGGAGGCCGUGAGGGCUGAGGGAAAAAA
rnacentral:lncRNA from 1 species